rnacentral:rRNA from 13 species
AAUUCCUUGUCGGGUAAGUUCCGACCUGCACGAAUGGCGUAACGACUUCCCCACUGUCUCCAGCAUCGACUCAGCGAAAUUGAAGUCCCCGUGAAGAUGCGGGGUACCCGCGGUCAGACGGAAAGACCCCGUGAACCUUUACUGCAGCUUGGCUGUGGCACCGGAAAUAGUAUGUGUAGGAUAGGUGGGAGGCUUUGAAGCAGCGGCGCCAGUCGUUGUGGAGCCAUCCUUGAAAUACCACCCUUAUUCUUUUCGUUGUCUAACCGCGUCCCUGGAUGGGACCGGGACCCAGCCUGGCGGGCAGUUUGACUGGGGCGGUCGCCUCCUAAAGAGUAACGGAGGCGCGCGAUGGUAAGCUCAAGGCGGUCGGACAUCGCCUGUUGAGUGCAAUGGCAUAAGCUUGCCUGACUGUGAGGUCGACGGACCGAGCAGAGACGAAAGUCGGUCAUAGUGAUCCGGUGGUCCCGAA